rnacentral:rRNA from 1 species
AUGAAGAACUUUUCGACGACGCCCCGGCCAAAGAGGAGGAGAGAAAAGUACUUCAAUGAACUAGAUUCCCAAAUGAAGCUUCCACAAAUGAGCCUUCAAUCUUUAGGCCUUGAUCACAAGGAGUUUCUUCCGGUCCGUGCGCACGCAACUAAGAUCAUCCUCAAAGCGGCAAAGUCUGUAGUAUUUAUUUCAUCAUAUAUUGAUAAUAAGUUGUUGAGACAGUGCUCUGGCUUCCUGAUCGAAUGGGAUGAGAAUAGUAAAGAUGCAGUGGUUUUGACAUCCACACAUCUUAUCUGCUGCGAGGAUUCCUUGAAUGAGUGGUCAGGCGAACAUAAGUAUACGCCUGAUGCAGAGGUCUAUAUUCAGUUGGCGAAUGAUAGCAUCAAGGGCCAAUUAUUGUAUUACCAUAAGCACUAUGGUUUUGCUCUGAUUCGUGUAACUAUGGGUCGACCUGCCGAGUUGGCUCACUUUGGAAAUGAAGUUAACUUGGCGCAACUUGUGUAUGUUCUCGGGAGAGAUGAAAACUUCAAUAUACAACUAAGCAAUGGCAGAGUCCAGUAUGAAGGCCCAACCAUAUAUGAGUAUCACCAUCACAUGCACGUGGAAGCUGUAGUCCAAUAUACAACUAAGCAAUGGCAGAGUCCAGUAUGA